rnacentral:lncRNA from 1 species
CUGCCCCUGCCGCCGGGGCCGCCGUCGCUGUCCUAGCCGCCGCCGCUGCCGCCGCCGCCGCUGCCGUCUUCACCGCGGGAGAAGGAGCACGAGACAGGACGCCCCUGAGUGAACGCCACCAUCCUGCCGACAGCUCCGCCCGGGCUGCUUCCUUUCCGCCCAGGUCCCCGUCCCCUCCCCCCUCAGGUGCCAUCCGCCUCCAUCCGCGCCCUCGAUCCCCCCAUCCCCAGGUGAGGGGGCUGAGCCCCGGUCGCGGAGGCCCGGACGAGCCCGGCAGGGUCACCAUUUGCAGCGCGACAUGGCAGGAGCUGGAGGAGGGAAUGAUAUUCAAUGGUGUUUUUCUCAGGUGAAAGGAGCAGUUGAUGAUGACGUAGCAGAAGUGUGAAGACUUGGAGGCUUGAAGAACAGGACUUGUUCUAGUGCUCUGUCUUCACAAGUACAUCAACAACAUUGUUUUCAGAUAUAAUUUCUACAGUAGAGUUUAAUCAUUCUGGAGAAUUACUAGCCACAGGAGAUAAAGGUGGGAGAGUCGUCAUCUUUCAACAAGAGCAGGAGAACAAAAUCCAGUCUCAUAGCAGAGGAGAAUACAAUGUUUACAGCACCUUCCAGAGCCAUGAGCCAGAAUUUGACUACUUGAAAAGCUUAGAAAUAGAAGAGAAGAUCAACAAAAUUAGGUGGUUACCCCAGAAAAAUGCUGCCCAGUUUUUAUUGUCUACCAAUGAUAAAACAAUAAAAUUAUGGAAAAUCAGUGAAAGAGACAAAAGACCAGAAGGCUAUAACUUGAAAGAG